CACGUCACGUGUCAUGCACCCAGCUCUGCGUGCUGUUCACCUAGCACUGCGCGUUGCGCUGCGUUGUGUGCUGUUCACCUAGCAUUGCAUGCUGUUCACUGGCACGUUGUGCCCCUGGCACUGCGCACCGUGUGCUCAGCACUGCACGUAAUUCUGCCUUUCCCACUGCGUGCACCGCACGCCCUACUUUCUUCCUCUUCUUUCUCCUUCUCGUUCUUCUUUUUCUUUUCCUUCUUCUUCUUCUUUUUCUUCUUCUUCUUGUUCUUCUUAUUCUUCUUCUUCUUCCU
rnacentral:lncRNA from 1 species